UACAGAGGUCCCAAGCGUUGUUCGGAUUCACUGGGCUUAAAGCGUGCGUAGGUGGUUAGGUAAGUUUGAUGUGAAAUCUCCGGGCUCAACCCUGAAAUGGCAUUGAAUACUAUGUCGCUAGAGGAGUGGAGGGGGGACUGGAAUACUUGGUGUAGCAGUGAAAUGCGUAGAUAUCAAGUGGAACACCAGUGGCGAAAGCGAGUACCUGGAGACUUCCUGACACUGAGGCACGAAAGCUAGGGGAGCAAACAGG
rnacentral:rRNA from 1 species